UACGAAGGGGGCGAGCGUUGUUCGGAAUUACUGGGCGUAAAGGGCGCGCAGGCGGUUCUGAAAGUCAGAUGGGAAAGCCCCGGGCUUAACCUGGGAAUUGCAUUUGAUACUCUGGAGCUUGAGUACGGGAGAGGAUAGUGGAAUUCCCAGUGUAGAGGUGAAAUUCGUAGAUAUUGGGAAGAACACCGGUGGCGAAGGCGGCUAUCUGGACCGUAACUGACGCUGAGGCGCGAAAGCGUGGGGAGCAAACAGG
rnacentral:rRNA from 1 species